CCUACGGGUGACUGCAGUGAGGAAUAUUGGUCAAUGGGCGCGAGCCUGAACCAGCCAUGUCGCGUGAAGGAUGACUGCCCUACGGGUUGUAAACUUCUUUUAUAAAGGAAUAAAGUGAGGCACGUGUGCCUUUUUGUAUGUACUUUAUGAAUAAGGAUCGGCUAACUCCGUGCCAGCAGCCGCGGUAAUACGGAGGAUCCGAGCGUUAUCCGGAUUUAUUGGGUUUAAAGGGUGCGUAGAUGGGUUGUUAAGUCAGUGGUGAAAGUGUGCGGCUCAACCGUAAAAUUGCAAUUGAUACUGGCAGCCUUGAGUAUAGUUGAGGUAGGCGGAAUGUGUGGUGUAGCGGUGAAAUGCUUAGAGAUCACGAAGAACUCCGAUUGCGAAGGCAGCUUACUAAGCUGCCACUGACAUUGAGGCACGAAAGUGUGGGUAGCAAACAGGAUUAGAUACCCGAGUAGUC
rnacentral:rRNA from 1 species